UGGACAUGGACAUAAUGGAAAGAGUUCUUGAGCUACUUCAUGUAUAUGAUUUCGCUGACAAAGUCUUCAACACCAGUGUGCUUCCAUUGAAUCAAGGAGAGAAUGGAGUCAAAAUGGACUUUGACUGGAUGAUUGAUCACUUUAUUGCUUUACCGUAGAUGGUAAAUGGUGGCAAGUUUUCAGACAUUUGCUGUCAAUAAGAAAUUAACCUCCAUAAAUAGGGCCAGAAGCAUUUUCCUAAUGUGGACAGGCAUGCAAUUAUUAAUUAUUAUUUUUUUA